CGGUCCCUGCAAAAGUCAAAUCUGUGUCAUUCCCUCUGAGUCUUCGUGCCUGUUCCUAGCUGAUUUCCAGGAGGGAAGAUGAAAACUUUGCUUCUCUCUCUCCUUCUCUUUGCUAUUGCAGCAUGUGUCCGUUCCCAGGUUAAACUGCUGCAGACAGGAGCAGCCCAGCUGAAGCCCUCACAGACCCUGAGACUCACCUGCUCAGUCUCUGGAUUCUCUCUCACGUCUAGCGGGUAUGGAGUGAGCUGGGUUCGACAGCCCCCGGGGAAAGGCCUGGAGUGGUUAUCCAUUGUGUACUGGGAUGAUGACAAGGGCUACCACGAAUCCCUCAAAAACCGAUUGACCAUCUCCAGGGACACCUCUAAAAGCGAGGUGUAUUUGGAAAUGAGAGGCACGGAAGCCGGAGAGAGCGGCACCUAUUACUGCGCCAGGAGAGACACAGUGACCCAGAGCAGAGCAGGGACUGGUACAAAAAGGGGAAGCGGAUUCUGAGCUUUGCAGUGAGGCCAGAUUAACUCAGAGCAAGGAGGUUCCCCCAGCUAAACUCCCUGUAAAUGAAAAGAAAAUGCAGAGUAGGAGAAAACAGCUGCUUAUUUUUUUUCCUCUCAACUUGAUACUGCAGAAAGAGGAAUCGCGAGAAUCAGUGACACACACUGAAAAAAGCAAUCCGUUUAAUUCAACAUAUAUGACUUCCAGGCGUUUCACCAUUAAAUAUGUGAAUACAUCCAGCCGUUACCGAAUGGCAAAGAGAGGAGAGAGAGAGAGGUCUAUCCAUAAAUAUGUAUCAUAGAUAGAUAGAUAGAUAGAUAGAUAGAUAGAUAGAUAGAUAGAUACUGAAAUCAUGUUUUAGUUGUUUUAUAAAAUGCUUAGUACAGUUUUGGAUGUUGUAUCUGUAGGAAGAAAACAGCAAGAAAAAUG